AGUUCGGCCUCAUGGUUGGCCGGCGCUAGGCGUCCCCGCCGGCUGUUAGAUGCCUUUGUCGUCGGGCUCGGCUUCCUCAGUGUGUGGCUGGAGGUCGAACCCAGGGUAGAGGAGGGCUGAACGCAUCCCCUUUUAAUCUGAGUGUCCGGGAGGAGGGUGGCGGGAGGACCCCCGGGUGGGGGCGCCAGGCUGCCCACGCGUGCGUUCCCGGCCUCUUGGGGGACCCGAGCGGCGGACCUCCGGCUCCUUCCCCUGUCGCGGUUGCCUCCAGCGCGGGCCGGAGGAAGGAGUCUCCAUGGAACCUGAGGGCAGAGGAUCACUUUUUGAGGACUCAGACCUUCUCCAUGCUGGAAACCCAAAAGAAAAUGACGUGACUGCUGUGCUGCUGACCCCUGGGUCCCAAGGAAUUCUCUUGGCGACAACUCCCCAUUGAAGAAUGUUCCUUUCUUCUGGA
rnacentral:lncRNA from 10 species